rnacentral:rRNA from 1 species
UACGAAGGGGGCUAGCGUUGUUCGGAAUCACUGGGCGUAAAGCGCUCGUAGGCGGAUCUUUAAGUCAGAGGUGAAAUCCCAAGGCUCAACCUUGGAACUGCCUUUGAUACUGGGGAUCUCGAGUCCGGGAGAGGUGAGUGGAACUGCGAGUGUAGAGGUGAAAUUCGUAGAUAUUCGCAAGAACACCAGUGGCGAAGGCGGCUCACUGGCCCGAUACUGACGCUGAGGCACGAAAGCGUGGGGAGCAAACAGG